GCAGUCGACGAUGAACCACCUUCGGGUGGGGAUUAGUGGCGAACGGGUGAGUAACACGUGGGCAAUCUGCCCUGCACUCUGGGACAAGCCCUGGAAACGGGGUCUAAUACCGGAUACUGACCCUCGCAGGCAUCUGCGAGGUUCGAAAGCUCCGGCGGUGCAGGAUGAGCCCGCGGCCUAUCAGCUAGUUGGUGAGGUAAUGGCUCACCAAGGCGACGACGGGUAGCCGGCCUGAGAGGGCGACCGGCCACACUGGGACUGAGACACGGCCCAGACUCCUACGGGAGGCAGCAGUGGGGAAUAUUGCACAAUGGGCGAAAGCCUGAUGCAGCGACGCCGCGUGAGGGAUGACGGCCUUCGGGUUGUAAACCUCUUUCAGCAGGGAAGAAGCGAAAGUGACGGUACCUGCAGAAGAAGCGCCGGCUAACUACGUGCCAGCAGCCGCGGUAAUACGUAGGGCGCAAGCGUUGUCCGGAAUUAUUGGGCGUAAAGAGCUCGUAGGCGGCUUGUCACGUCGGUUGUGAAAGCCCGGGGCUUAACCCCGGGUCUGCAGUCGAUACGGGCAGGCUAGAGUUCGGUAGGGGAGAUCGGAAUUCCUGGUGUAGCGGUGAAAUGCGCAGAUAUCAGGAGGAACACCGGUGGCGAAGGCGGAUCUCUGGGCCGAUACUGACGCUGAGGAGCGAAAGCGUGGGGAGCGAACAGGAUUAGAUACCCUGGUAGUCCACGCCGUAAACGGUGGGCACUAGGUGUGGGCAACAUUCCACGUUGUCCGUGCCGCACCUAACGCAUUAAGUGCCCCGCCGGGGGAGUACGGCCGCAAGGCUAAUACUCAAAGGAAUUGACGGGGGCCCGCACAAGCGGCGGAGCAUGUGGCUUAAUUCGACGCAACGCGAAGAACCUUACCAAGGCUUGACAUACACCGGAAAACCCUGGAGACAGGGUCCCCCUUGUGGUCGGUGUACAGGUGGUGCAUGGCUGUCGU
rnacentral:rRNA from 1 species